UACAAAGCUGUGCAGCAUGUGACUGUAUUGAAUGCUAUGGGCAGUUUCGACAUGACAGUCAAUAUUUGUGUAUCUAGACAUAUUAAAUGUAAAAAAAUGCAGUAAAAACACAGUACUAUAAUCUUAUGGGACCACUGUAGUAUAUGCAGUCCAUCGUUGACCAAAACAUCGUUAUUCAGUGCAUGACUGUAUUUUAAUACUACUGCCCUUCUACUAUUAAACUUGAAAUUACAUUGAACUUGCAAAUUAACUUGUGGAGAACUGACGUUUGUGACAUUGAGAAAUCCUGUUCAGGAAUAUGGUGUGAUUUUAGAUAGACUCAUGUUUCCUUUUUCUGUUUUCUAGUACAAUGUUUUACUGUCAACUUUUAACACAGAAGAAAAAAUGAUCACUUUCAGUGUAAAUCAAAUCAUGUUUUUUCUCUGCUCAAAAUCUUAAAAUAAUGCUUCAUCUCACUCAGAACUCUAG
rnacentral:lncRNA from 1 species